AUACGUAGGUGACAAGCGUUAUCCGGAUUUACUGGGUGUAAAGGGCGUGUAGGCGGUUUAGCAAGUCAGAAGUGAAAUUCCCGGGCUUAACUUGGGCGCUGCUUCUGAAACUGCUUUACUUGAGUGCUGGAGAGGAUAGUGGAAUUCCUAGUGUAGCGGUAAAAUGCGCAGAUAUUAGGAGGAACACCGGUGGCGAAGGCGGCUAUCUGGACAGUAACUGACGCUGAGGCGCGAAAGCACGGGGAGCAAACAGGAUUAGAUACCCUGGUAGUCCGUGCCGUAAACGAUGAAUACUAGGUGUAGGGGGUAUCGACUCCCUCUGUGCCGCAGUUAACACAUUAAGUAUUCCACCUGGGGAGUACGUCCGCAAGGAUGAAACUCAAAUGAAUUGACGGGG
rnacentral:rRNA from 1 species